CCUACGGGCGGCAGCAGUGGGGAAUAUUGCACAAUGGGGGAAACCCUGAUGCAGCGACGCCGCGUGAGUGAAGAAGUAUUUCGGUAUGUAAAGCUCUAUCAGCAGGGAAGAAAAUGACGGUACCUGAUUAAGAAGCCCCGGCUAACUACGUGCCAGCAGCCGCGGUAAUACGUAGGGGGCAAGCGUUAUCCGGAUUUACUGGGUGUAAAGGGAGCGUAGACGGCAGGACAAGUCUGGAGUGAAAGGCCGGGGCUUAACCCCGGAACUGCUUUGGAAACUGUGCAGCUUGAGUGCAGGAGAGGUAAGUGGAAUUCCGAGUGUAGCGGUGAAAUGCGUAGAUAUUAGGAGGAACACCAGUGGCGAAGGCGGCUUACUGGACUGUAACUGACGUUGAGGCUCGAAAGCGUGGGGAGCAAACAGGAUUAGAUACCCGAGUAGUC
rnacentral:rRNA from 1 species